GAGCACUGUGAGGCGUGGGCUCCGGAUCAACUAAAUCAAACUUGCCAGAAGUAUGGCAAACUCCUGGCGGAGUUUGUCAAGCUCGCCAGGGGGUCCAGAGGAACAGAAGCAUCACAAGCCACAGCCCCAGCUGGACAGGUUCCAGAACAGGUACAGGUGUUCCCGGAAUGCAAAUUAGUAUUGGAAGUUGGACCUCAAUCAAAAGAUCAAUUGGACCGACAACGCACCCUUGGGGAAUUUUUUUCCCUGUCCUCAGUAAAACCCCAAUUACACCAACAAGCAACAGUUAAAUGCAUACAAAGACGCAUAAAUGCAGCAGAUGGAAAACAGGAGGAAGCAGCUGGAAGUGUGUUUCCCUCAGAACUGUUUUUAACAGGCUGUGCACAAAUAAUGCCUCUCUAAUGCAGAGAUAAAAAUAAAACAUAAAUAUUGAAAAGGUUA